UGGAGCUGGGGCUUGAGUGCAGCAGUUUGCUGGAGAGAAGUCCUCAAGUGUUUGCUGUUGACUGCUCUGCAAAUACUUUGCCAAGCUCACUUAUAGGUCUGCCGCUGAGCAAACUGGAGAGUCCCCCGUGCUCCUGUGAGAUGCCCCAUCCACCCCACCAGCUCAGCAUUCACAAGUUGUGCCUGGUACAUCAAGGAUGCUGAUUCUACACAAGAGGCCUCCCUUUGGACAAUUCUUUAUUUAGGGGAUUAACAGAUCACCAAAUAUGUGGAAUUCAGUUCUCUUCCUCUUCCGCUUCUUCCAGAAGACCAUCUUCCUUUGAGUGUUGCUGCAGGAAAGGAGCUUUCAUCCAAGGAAGUAUCGUGUGAGAAUUUUCCAUUUAUAGUCUCUCCAACACAUGGUAAU